GACGAACGCUGGCGGCGUGCUUAACACAUGCAAGUGGAGCGACGAACCAGGGCUUGCCCUGGGGCAGAGCCGCGAACGGGUGAGUAACACGUGGGUAACGUGCCCCGAUGAUCGGGACAACCCGGGGAAACCCGGGCUAAUACCGAAUGUGCUCCCCUCACACCAGUGAGGGAUGGAAAGGAAGCUUCGGCCUCCGCAUCGGGAUCGGCCCGCGGCCCAUUAGCUUGUUGGUGAGGUAACGGCUCACCAAGGCUGCGAUGGGUAGCUGGUCUGAGAGGACGAUCAGCCACACUGGGACUGAGACACGGCCCAGACUCCUACGGGAGGCAGCAGUGGGGAAUCUUGCGCAAUGCGCGAAAGCGUGACGCAGCAACGCCGCGGUGGGGGAAGACGGCCU
rnacentral:rRNA from 1 species